rnacentral:rRNA from 1 species
GACGAACGCUGGCGGCGUGCUUAACACAUGCAAGUUGAACGGGCAUACAUGGAAGCUUGCUGAAGUGUAUGUUAGUAGCGGACGGGUGAGUAAUGCAUGAGAAGCUGCCAUUUGGGAGGGGGACAACAGUUGGAAACGGCUGCUAAUACCCCGUAUGCCGAAAGGUAAAGGGAGCAAUCCGCCUGAUGAGGUGCUCAUGUCCUAUCAGCUGGUUGGUGGGGUAACGGCCUACCAAGGCGACGACGGGUAGCCGGCCUGAGAGGGUGAACGGCCACACUGGAACUGAGAUACGGUCCAGACUCCUACGGGAGGCAGCAGUGGGGAAUAUUGGGCAAUGGGGGAAACCCUGACCCAGCGACGCCGCGUGAGGGAAGACGGCCUUCGGGUUGUAAACCUCUUUUGUUACGGGAAGAAGGAAGUGACGGUACUGUACGAAUAAGUCCGGCUAACUACGUGCCAGCAGCCGCGGUAACUAGUCUACG